rnacentral:rRNA from 1 species
GUGGAUUAGAUACCCGGGUAGUCCACGCCCUAAACGAUGCGAACUGGAUGUUGGUCUCAACUCGGAGAUCAGUGUCGAAGCUAACGCGUUAAGUUCGCCGCCUGGGGAGUACGGUCGCAAGACUGAAACUCAAAGGAAUUGACGGGGGCCCGCACAAGCGGUGGAGUAUGUGGUUUAAUUCGAUGCAACGCGAAGAACCUUACCUGGCCUUGACAUGUCUGGAAUCCUGCAGAGAUGCGGGAGUGCCUUCGGGAAUCAGAACACAGGUGCUGCACGGCCGUCGACAACU